AAACCUCGGAGUACUGAGAGGAGGAGAACGAGCCAAAUAUCUUGUUUGUGCCCUUCACGCGUCCUUGCUCCGUCUUUUCAAAGCUGGACACCCGGUCGACAUUAAACCGAGACCACGCUGGCUUCAAGGACGCGUUGUUUUGAGGCAUGCGGCUCCUUCCGGAGGCAAACGAGCGGCGGUGUCCCUGGCGCAAUCUCUCAGCGUGGCCUUUUGAGAGGAAAGGUCAUAUCGGCGUCGGCGACAAGGUCGAGACAACGAUGAGUGAAAGAUCGAGAUCACAAGCAAGUCGAUCCAACGAGCAGUUCCGGAGUUCACUUUGCAGCACUUUCAGGUGUUGCUCCAGAACAAUUAUGGCAGACGUCCUGUUGAAUUUCGAGCGUGUCUUGAGACGCAGCGGGCUUUAUCCGCAGCACCUUCUGUUCCAUUGUGUCGGCGCGGCGGCGGCGGCCUCAUCAAAGCCAGACUAAAAGGGCGACGGGAAGAGUUCAGCGGCGAGUACAAAAGAGGUGACGCGUUCCCGCCUGACACCCACGACUAGUCGCGCUUUCUUUAAUUCAAUAGAAAAACUGAAUCGUGACACAUUAAAAGAGACGUAUGCAAAUUGUUCACAAUUUUUAAAG